UACGGAGGUGGCUAGCGUUACUCGGAAUUAUUGGGUGUAAAGGGCAAGUAGGCGGUCUAAUAAGUGGGGGGUGAAAUACUCCGGCUCAAUCGGAGAACAGCCUUCCAAACUGCUAGACUUGAGUAUGACAGAGGAAAAUGGAAUUCUAGGUGUAAGGGUGAAAUCUGUAGAUAUCUAGAAGAACACCAGCUGCGAAGGCGAUUUUCUGGGUCAUUACUGACGCUAAAUUGCGAAAGCUAGGGGAGCAAACAGA
rnacentral:rRNA from 1 species